CUUAUCGGUGCAACAUUUCUUCCACAACCGGGAGGAAAAUGUCUUACAACGUUCACCCCCCUACGGGGUUUACUUACCACUGUUACUUUCUCCUUAUUCUUUUCUGGUUGUUCCCUUACAUUUCUCCCACAGCCUAGUGGAAAGUGUCGGACUACUGUCACGCUCUUCCUAAAACGAAUACCUCAUUCGGCUAUCCUUAAUUUCCCCCUUUCUUUAGCAUAUUCCUUAGAUUCUCUCAAAAGGGAACCUCUCAUGCUUACAUUAAUAUUAUUACUAUCUGCACUUUUUAGACUACUCGGUUCGAGCUGCCAUCGGCUCCUAGCA
rnacentral:lncRNA from 1 species